UUUCUCAACUUCUCUUCUUGGUUGAAGACUUCCGCAACGAAUCCAUUUAUAUUUAUCUAACUUUUCCUAUUUCAUUUUCUUAUCAUUGAUAAAAAUCCUACUUGUAAUUACUACUGCAAAUAUUAUAUCUACGAAUAAAUCAUUCAUAAAUGAGAUAGUGACAAACAGAGAGAGAGAGAGAAAGAGAGAGAAAGCUUGUUGCGUUCAUCACAAUGGCCGCGCGCAACGAGGAUCUUACGUCGGUUAUCAAGCUUCGUGCGAGGCUCUGAAUAAUAUAUCCAAGCUGCUGCAGCAGCGACGUCGUUCUGCGACACUCUCUGCGCUCUAUCUCAGUGUCAUUAUAUCGUAUUAACAAAACGAAACUGGUAUUUCGAAAUCGUUAAGGAAAUCGUUUCUCUCUUAUUUCGUUCGGAGAACAAAACUCGACUCGAUUUUUCGUCCUCGAGACCAUCGCGUUUUUUUUUAUGUAUUAUAUUCAAACGCAAACAAAAACAAAGCGUUGCCAUUCGUGACGUUUAUACCAAUCGAGACUGGCAUAAACAAAUUAACUUUCGAUCUAACGCUAUCUAAAUUCCCUUUGGCUUUAUUAUGUCAAAAUUUAUUAUAACGUGCUCCAUCGAAGAUGCAACGAAUUUUCAUCGAUAAUCAGAGAAUCACUCUCCCCGUCGACAUCGUUAAAGAGAAUACAAAGUUCGACUUUCCAAGUGUCAUUGCUUGAACGAGAAAGGUAGACGAUAAAAAUAAGUGGACUUAGGGUAAACCAAAACAUGCCUAUCUUUGGUUGUACGAAAGAGGACAAUUGUAGAAGGAACGCCUUUCUAAGGGCGAGAGAACGUGCGAAUCGUGAAAAAGAAAAGAAGAAAUUGGAAAAUUUGAACAACCCGAAUCAAACGUCCGAACUUUCGAAAGUCGAAAACAUUGAUAAAGAAGAUAUCGUGGAACAAAACGAUAAGUUAAAUCCGAAAGAAGAGAAAGAAACGUCAGAAUCGGAAAGAGGGAUCGACGAUUUGGAAGAAUUAUCUUCUUCCGUUAGAAAUCAAGCCUUUAUAGAGCAAAUGCAGGAGGAAUCUUAAAAAAAAAAAAAGAAAAAAAA